CAACAACGGAAAGGAGGUGGUCAGAUGUCUCAUUGUCGCAUGCCGCUCGCGGCUGAUCUCUCGAGCAUGACCUCCACCGCGGGGGUCCGGCUCGGCUGAGCUGUCCGCGUUCGGAUGACAAUGGAAGGGCCGCCCGGUGGGCGGCCCU
rnacentral:sRNA from 1 species